UUUCUCUUCUCAUCCCCCUCCCCUCGCUCCCCCAUACUCCCCGCCCCCAGAUACUACGGUGACAUGCUGCUGACAUUUCUGCCAUCCCUAUAGGGAUCACGUUUCCUUUUGUGUUCUUAAACUGUCUUUGAACUCGGGGUGCUCCUGAGGGAAAUGUUCUCAGUAUCUGCUCCUCAACAGCUCUGUCCCGGAUUCCUGUUCACUCAGUCUUUGCAUCCCCAGGAGCGCUUGCGACACUUCUUAGAGAAGAGGGAAAAGGGAGAGCUUCUUAUUCAGAGAAACAGAAGACUGAAGAAGCACAUUUUGAGACCGGUAAUGUUAAAUUCCAAACCCAAUUUCAAAAAAAUUCUGUCUAGUUAAGUAUGAGUUAAGCAAAGAAAAUUUCUAUAAACAAGUAACCGUUUUGGAAACUGGAUUUUAAAAAAAUUAAUCUGAAAAGUAUAGUGUUUAGAACUCUUCUAGAUUUUAGAAACAUUAAGGGAAGUCUGCCCUUAAUUCUGUGUACUUAACUGUGUUUACUUAAUUGUUUGCGUUUUCCAAUGAAGGGAUGGAUUAAUGCUUUCACAAGUAAAGUGACUUUCAGUUGCUGGGCAAAACACAUUUAACAAAUGUUGAAUGACUUGGCAGUGGAAUACUAUGCAGAGUCCAACAGCUUCACAUGAUCUUGUUUGGGGUCACGGGGAGCCUGAAGGACACUAACCAAGGAUCUGAGGAAGGGAGGGCCUUACUGAGAUGGCGCUAGUCUGAGAAGGAAAGGAGGUACACCUGGGAGGGGCCUUGGCCUCAGUGGCUAAGGAAUUGAGUAGCUUAUUGGAAAAUU
rnacentral:lncRNA from 1 species